GCUGGGUGUGGUGGCGUGCACCUGUAGUCCCAGCUACUUGGGAGGCUGAGACAGAAGAAUUGAUUGAACCCGGGAGGCAGAAGUUGCAGUGAGCCGAGAUUGUGCCACUGCACUCCAGCCUGGGUGAUAGAGCAAGACUCUGUCUCAA
ensembl:misc_RNA Metazoa_SRP Metazoan signal recognition particle RNA